GAUGAACGCUGGCGGCGUGCCUAAUACAUGCAAGUCGAGCGAACAGAUGAGGAGCUUGCUCCUCUGACGUUAGCGGCGGACGGGUGAGUAACACGUGGAUAACCUACCUAUAAGACUGGGAUAACUUCGGGAAACCGGAGCUAAUACCGGAUAAUAUAUUGAACCGCAUGGUUCAAUAGUGAAAGACGGUUUUGCUGGCACUUAUAGAUGGAUCCGCGCCGCAUUAGCUAGUUGGUAAGGUAACGGCUUACCAAGGCAACGAUGCGUAGCCGACCUGAGAGGGUGAUCGGCCACACUGGAACUGAGACACGGUCCAGACUACUACGGGAGGCAGCAGUAGGGAAUCUUCCGCAAUGGGCGAAAGCCUGACGGAGCAACGCCGCGUGAGUGAUGAAGGUCUUCGGAUCGUAAAACUCUGUUAUUAGGGAAGAACAAAUGUGUAAGUAACUAUGCACGUCUUGACGGUACCUAAUCAGAAAGCCACGGCUAACUACGUG
rnacentral:rRNA from 1 species